AUUCUCAUUCCUCUACAGUUGCACAGUCGCUGGUACACUUAUGCAUGAUUCAGCUCAUUUGAGAUGAAGUUUUUUGUUGUUUCUUUAAAAAAACAACUUUAAAAAUUAUUCUACCCAAAUAAGCUGAAAUCAUGCAGAAACGUAUUGGAGACUGAGCAGCUUUAGAGAGAUGAGGAA